UACGUAGGGUGCAAGCGUUAAUCGGAAUUACUGGGCGUAAAGCGUGCGCAGGCGGUGAUGUAAGACAGAUGUGAAAUCCCCGGGCUCAACCUGGGAACUGCAUUUGUGACUGCAUCGCUGGAGUGCGGCAGAGGGGGAUGGAAUUCCGCGUGUAGCAGUGAAAUGCGUAGAUAUGCGGAGGAACACCGAUGGCGAAGGCAGCCCCCUGGGGUAACACUGACGCUCAUGCACGAAAGCGUGGGGAGCAAACAGG
rnacentral:rRNA from 1 species